CCUAGAAGACUUAUGGAAGACUCUUAGAAGACUUAUGGAAGACUGAUAUCACUCAAAUUACCUUAAAGAGUGAAUUUACUCUCUCAAAUAAGAUGUUCAAUUGGAGUACUUAGGGAUCGAAUCCACAAGGAGCUACGGAACCUAAUGAAUCUAAUAUGAUUUGUUAAGUAAGGUGGUUUUAAUGAUUUAAAUGGAAAGUUGCAGUUUUGUUGAGCAAGUAAUUGCUCGACCGAUUGGUUGAGGUUUUGGUGCUUAAAAGGAAAUUGCUAGACUUAGGGUUUUUAUUCAGGAAACUUGGGAUUAUAAUCCUACAAAUGUCUAAUGAGUUGCAUGCAUGAUAAUAUAAAGUUCAACUACUAAAUCAACAAGUCAAUCAGCUCUCGCAUGUCUAGACUCAUCUAUUAACUAGAUCUAAUUACCCAAACAAAUGUGUUCGAUUAAUAACAGUGUCGAUCGAUGAUCCUAUAUGGAUAUCGAUCGAUACACCUUUCACUUCGUCGAUCGAUUAUUCAGUAUUGAUAUCGAUCGACGCGCUUUUAGUUAAGCUUUAUGUGUGGAUUGAAUGAUGCUUACUAAGCUCACUAGAUCAGCUCUCGCCUUACUCUUAGCAAGAUACUUAGCUCAGUUAGAAUGGUUUCAGGAUAAGAAUGAAGCUAUCGCUUUUAUCUAACAAUCCUAUCGCAAGUUCUAGGUAGCUUAUCUAGAAUCAUGCAUUAAUGACACUCCUAAUGAUAAAUAUCACAACUCAGCAAUCUAUAGUUGGGGCUAACCCUUCAUAACCUAUUUAAACCCUAAAAUCUAACAAUGGAACUACUCAGACAUGACCAAAGAAUUCAUGAAAGCAAUUAGGUAAGAAAACUUCAUUAGAAUAGUAAAUAUAUAUUAAUGGAGUUCCAAUCACAAAUUAUAACUUUGGAUCUUCUCUACAAUCUAUCAAAAUCAAAAACCUUUUGCUGAUAGUAAUAAACCUAGAAACACAAGAAAGCACACUUUGCCUCUAACAUGGUGACAAAGCUUAUAUAAUUAGGUUAAAAUUCGUCAAGAGUAAUCUUGUAAAUUGGUGAAGACUUGGGCUUCAAGUCGGCUGUGACCAAACAUGCCUUCUGCGCACUUUGCUGUCGAUUGAUGUUCUGAUGUGAACAUCAAUUGAUAUUUGUUCCUCAAUAUCGACCGAUGGUCGACCUUGAUGGUCAUCUCGGGUACUUGC
rnacentral:lncRNA from 1 species